rnacentral:rRNA from 1 species
UACGGAGGGGGCUAGCGUUGUUCGGAAUUACUGGGCGUAAAGGGCGCGUAGGCGGCCAGCACAAGUCAGUUGUGAAAUCUCCGAGCUUAACUCGGAACGGUCAACUGAUACUGUGCGGCUAGAGUGCGGAAGGGGCAACUGGAAUUCUUGGUGUAGCGGUGAAAUGCGUAGAUAUCGAGAGGAACACCUGCGGCGAAGGCGGGUUGCUGGGCUGACACUGACGCUGACAGCGCGAAAGCUAGGGGAGCGAACGGG